rnacentral:miRNA from 14 species
UGAAAGUGCUGUAUAAGAACUUCAAGCCUCAGGCUGGAGAGAUGGCUCAGCCGUUAAAGGCUAGGCUCACAACCAAAAAUAUA